CAGCAGACAUUAGUGUGUUCUUUUGGUUCAGUCCUUGAGAGAUCGAAUUAAGCAUCUUUUCAUUCAAAUGGAUCGACCGAUCGAGAAUCCUGCCUCAUUUAAUUAAUUCAAAUUUCUGAGAUCUUUGGAGUCGUUUUCUUGUCUCUGACUCUCAUGAAGACAACGACCCAUCAUCGUCUCACACUUUUUUCAUUCCACAAAUAUUACUGUUGUUGAGUCACUUUUCUAUAUGCUUAUAUAUGUCUCUUUCUCUAUGUUUUAGUAUCUUACUCUACCCUACCCCCCCCUCUUUCUAUAUUUCAUCUCUCCCUCUCUUCCUGCCUGUGUGACCUAAUUAAUCUUUAAUCCAUUUCCUAUCAAUGGAGAUUCAUGCUGCAGUUCCUCUUCCAGAUGCCAGCUAUCUAGCUGCAUCUCUUUGUUCAUGAUCUUUGAUGAUCAGCAGUUUAUGAGGAUAUAUCAAGCUGAUGAUUAUGGAUUUGGCUUGGCUUGGCUUGCAUCAUCCAAUAUUUGUAAUUUUAUUGAAUUUGUUUUAGAUGCAUAAUUAUGUUUAAGAAAUCAGUAAGCCUUAUGUUUGUCUCUUUUUCUUUUGUGAUGUACUUAAUUAGUUGUUAUUUGUGAGUUUCCUUAUGGUGAAAUUAUGACCAAUAAUGUCAUAACUUUUUUUAUAUAUAUUUUUUUUAAUUAGAUCUA